CGAAAGGAACGCUAAUACCGCAUACGUCCUACGGGAGAAAGCAGGGGACCGUUCGGGCCUUGCGCUAUCAGAUGAGCCUAGGUCGGAUUAGCUAGUUGGUGAGGUAAUGGCUCACCAAGGCGACGAUCCGUAACUGGUCUGAGAGGAUGAUCAGCCACACUGGAACUGAGACACGGUCCAGACUCCUACGGGAGGCAGCAGCC
rnacentral:rRNA from 1 species